GUCUGUGGCCAUACCACCCUGAAUGCAUCUGAUCUUAGAAGCGAAGCAGGGUCAGCCCUGGCUAGUACUUGGAUGGAGACA
ensembl:rRNA 5S_rRNA 5S ribosomal RNA